CUGUUUGUAGGGUCUGUGUUCAUGUAAUUUAUUUGUCCAAACAGGUCAUCCUGGUGUAACAGAACAGAUACAACCUGCUGUUUCUGCAGCUGAACAGUACAACCCAUCUGGCCAGGGUCCUCAAGGUGGCACAGGCAGGGAGCC